UACGAAGGGGGCUAGCGUUACUCGGAAUUACUGGGCGUAAAGGGCGCGUAGGCGGCGUUCCAAGUUAGGCGUGAAAGCCCUCGGCUCAACCGAGGAAGUGCGCCCGAAACUGCAUGGCUUGAGUACCGGAGAGGGUGGCGGAAUUCCCCAAGUAGAGGUGAAAUUCGUAGAUAUGGGGAGGAACACCGGUGGCGAAGGCGGCCACCUGGACGGAUACUGACGCUGAGACGCGAAAGCGUGGGGAGCAAACAGG
rnacentral:rRNA from 1 species